rnacentral:lncRNA from 1 species
AAGAUUAAAGGAACAGCUUAUUGAUAUUGUAUAUGCUCUUGUUUGGAUGUGUGACGGGGAAGACAGCAUUUAACUGCUGGUAUGCAAUGCUGAACCUGGACUGCAUGAAGAGGUUUUCGUUCACUGAUGUUGGAUGUGUGCCCAGACUGCCAUAGUAGAAUUUAGGGAAAACACAGAAAGGAGGAGAGACACAGAAUGGUUUUUGGGAACAUCCAUGUGGGGCAGAAGAAUAAAUACAUGUGAAGACCAUGUUUCCAGAAAUGAAAUGACUGGCCACUGGGCAACAGUUAUGAGUCCCCCAAAUCCCUUCCUGGUCCUCUCCAUUUGCACUUGAAGGUAACUGUUCAUCUUGAUGUUGAUUCGGGGUAGGAGUGAGAUUGUAACUGGGGCUGGGGGCAGUGGCUCACGCCUGUAGUCCCAGCACUUUGGAAGGCCAAGGCGGGCGGAUCACGAGGUCAGGAGAUCAGACCAUCGUGGCUAACACGGUGAAGCCCUGUCUCUACUAAAAAAAAAUAUAAAAAACAUUAUCCGGGAGCGAUGGCGGGCGACUACUGUAGUCCCAGCUACUCGGGAGGCCGAGGCAGGAGAAUGGCGUGAACCCGGGAGGUGGAGCUUGCAGUGAGCCGAGAUUGCUCCACUGCACUCCGGCCUGGACGACAGAGCGAGACUCCGUCUCAAAAAAAAAAAAAAAAAGGAUUAUAACUGGGUUAAAAAAGAAAGAGGACAGGUCAUGGCAAGAAGAAACCCGACAUCAUUUUGCCUGUUUUUCUAAGCUUAGCAAGGAGAUGAAUGUGGUGGGGUUUUUGUUUUUUGGCUUUUUAACUAGUGUUUCUGAAAGAGAAAUCUUUGUGGAUUGUGGACGUGGCGCCUCUUAAAAUGUACCUGCUGAUCAUCUGUCAUAUGGGAUAGACCAAGAACCUUUGGAAGUACUGAUUUUAUGGCUCACAAUGUGUAUUUAAGUUUAAAUGGGACUUUCUUUGGUUUAACUCAAUGGAGGGCUUUCUGGU